CCUACGGGUGACAGCAGUGGGGAAUAUUGCACAAUGGGGGAAACCCUGAUGCAGCGACGCCGCGUGAGUGAAGAAGUAAUUCGUUAUGUAAAGCUCUAUCAGCAGGGAAGAAAAUGACGGUACCUGAUUAAGAAGCCCCGGCUAACUACGUGCAAGCAGCCGCGGUGAUACGUAGGGGGGAAGCGUUGUCCGGAUUUACUGGGUGUAAAGGGAGCGUAGACGGCAGAGCAAGUCUGGAGUGAAAGGCGGGGGCUCAACCCCCGGAAUGCUCUGAAAACUGUACGGCUGGAGUGCAGGAGAGGUAAGUGGAAUUCCUAGUGUAGCGGUGAAAUGCGUAGAUAUUAGGAGGAACAUCAGAGGCGAAGGCGGCUUACUGGACUGUAACUGACGUUGAGGCUCGAAAGCGUGGGGAGCAAACAGGAUUAGAUACCCUUGUAGUC
rnacentral:rRNA from 1 species